GGCUUUCGGUUUUCACAGUUUCGAAAAAGCAAAACGAGAGGAAAGAACGAGACGAAGUUUCAGUUUUCAAUAUUUUGUAUCAUAAAAAACUGAACAGAUCACUGGUUUGAUGGAAACGUGUAGUGCGUGGCUGCAAGAGAAAUAGCAGAACAAAUAAAAUGUGGUCGUCGUGUGAACUUUUUCGGGUGUCGUGAGCCAGUGAGUCCCAGCCAUGCUCUCCACUCCAUGCUAUUUCUCAAUUGAAUAAAACUAAGAAUACCAUUGGAAUGAUUUUGGGAGCUUACACAGAAGAGUUGAACCUGUUCCAAAUAUGUGAAAUGUUGGUGCCCGACUACAGUGAAUAGCAUUUAUCAUAUUUCAGGUCCACUUUUGCCAGCCAUUGUAACCACAAGAUGUGCAAGUUUUGAUACUGACCGUCAUCACCAGCAAUCAAAGCAUCAUCAAUUGGAUAAACAGCAUCCCGUUUCAUUGCAGAAACUUCCAGUGUCGACCGAGUUAAGGAUUUCUUCAAUUCCUAUUCUUUAAAUGUCCUCGUGUACGCCCAUGCGAGUUUGGGUGUAUUCACGAGGACUCCAUUUUACCUAUCCCUCCUGCCUGGUAGAUUCAACUUUUCUGUGGAUGGAUGGAGCACCUGGAUGUGGAUACCUGGCUGUAUUUCCCAGGCUUCAAGGUAGGACAAAUUCAUUUCUAUCUUUCCUUUCUGACUAUUGAGUGUCGUUGAUUUGAAAUAGUUGCGGAGUACGGAAUACGAAUAUUCCCGGGCAGCAGGUGGUUUUCCUUUGCCCUGUUUGUUUUUCUGAGUCAGGGUUCAGGGUUCAUUAAAUAGCGUGUGUGAAGAACCACUGCAGAACAGGCCUGUUUUUAUACCUCGCAACUUUGUCUGUGGGUAAACAAUCAAGUUCAGAAACAUUUGAACUUAUAACACUUGAAGCAAAAUGAAAUUUGAACAAUUUUUUUUUCACCAAGAGGGUCUUGCCACCACACCAACACUUUCUGGUUCUCCAUGAAAUAAAUAUGAGACAAUUUUUGGAUGAGGUACAAAUCCGAGUAAUAGUGCGCGUCACGGUUUUGAAAUGGUGACCGACGUCACGGUGCCUUUGUGACUUGAAAAUCGAGCGAGACGGUAACGCUUCACGUAGAGAGCCAAGUGGCGUGCAAAAUUCGAACCGUGGGUGUGUAUACGAAUGGGUCGGCGUUCGGUCACGUGACCACCUUUCUUAUUUUCUUUUGAUGACAUUUGACGCCGCGAGCGUUGACGGCGCGUGUAGGCGGACGCCACCAUCCACCGCCGUCACUCCCAGCGUUCGGCGCACAUCAUUAUUUCACCCUCGAUCCUAAGUAGGCCUACUUAUCAUAUGAAUUCACGGCAUUGAGGAUGUUUUUCUUGUUUUUUUUUCUCA